UACGAAGGGGGCUAGCGUUGCUCGGAAUUACUGGGCGUAAGGCGCACGUAGGCGGUCUUUUAAGUCGGGGGUGAAAUCCUGGAGCUCAACUCCAGAACUGCCUUCGAUACUGGAAGACUUGAGUCCGGGAGAGGUGAGUGGAACUGCGAGUGUAGAGGUGAAAUUCGUAGAUAUUCGCAAGAACACCAGUGGCGAAGGCGGCUCACUGGCCCGAUACUGACGCUGAGGCACGAAAGCGUGGGGAGCAAACAGG
rnacentral:rRNA from 1 species